CCUACGGGUGGCAGCAGUGAGGAAUAUUGGGCAAUGGACGAGAGUCUGAACCAGCCACGUCGCGUGAGGGAUGAAUGCCCUCUGGGUUUUAAACUUCUUUUGUAGAGGAAUAAAGCGAGGCACGUGUGCCUUUUUGAAUGUACUUUAUGCAUAAGGAUCGGCUAACUCCGUGCCGGCCGCCGCGGUAAUACGGAGGAUCCGAGCGUUGUCCGGAUUUGUUGGGUUUAAAGGGAGCGUAGAUGGGUUGUUAAGUCAGUUGUGAAAGCUUGCGGCUCAACCGUAAAAUUGCAAUUGAUACUGGCAGUCUUGAGUACAGUUGAGGUAGGCGGAAUUCGUGGUGUAGCGGUGAAAUGCGUAGAUAUCACGAAGAACCCCGAUUGCGAAGGCAGCUUACUAACCUGUGACUGACAUUGAUGCUCGAAAGUGUGGGUAUCAAACAGGAUUAGAUACCCCAGUAGUC
rnacentral:rRNA from 1 species